rnacentral:rRNA from 1 species
GACGAACGCUGGCGGCGUGCCUAAUACAUGCAAGUAGGACGCAGUUGCGAACGGGUGAGUAACGCGUAGGUAACUACCUAUUAGAGGGGGAUAUCUAUUGGAAACGAUAGCUAAUACCGCAUACUAGUAGAUGGACCUGCGUUGUAUUUGUUAGUAGGUAGGGUAAAGGCCUACCUAGGCAACGAUACAUAGCCGGCCUGAGAGGGUGGUCGGGCAACAUUGGACUGAGGAACGGCCCAGAAUCCUACGGGAGGCAGCAGUAGGGAAUCUUCGGCAAUGGGGGGAACCCUGAACGAGCAACGCCGGGGGAGUGAAGAAGGUUUUCGGGUCGUAAAGCUCUGUUGUUAAGGAAGCGGUACUUAACCAGAAAGGGACGGCUAACUACGUGCCAGCCGCCGCGGUAAUAC